AGCCAUUUUUUAAAUACUUGGUCGUGGGACAAUUUAGGAAAGUUUCCCAAAUUUUCUUUUUUGUGUCAUUACAAAUUACACCAAUAAAAAAUAAUAAUUAUUUGCAUUUCUCGACACAAAUUUCCCUCCAUCUUAAACUUCCUAAAAAACCCCUUUACAUUCUUUUUUGCCGCCGCCGCCGUCUCUCUCUCUCAAGCCCUCACAAUUUUGCGCCGUCGUCUCCUGCCUCCGUCUCCCUCUCGCUAACUCCCUAAAAAAAGCCUCCACAAUUUUGCGCCGCCGCCGUCUCUCUCUCGGAACGCUCUCCGGUUCAGUAUCGCACGACUUUCCCUCUCCUCGCGAACGCUCUCCGGUUCAGCUUCGCCGUCUCUCUCUCGCAAGGAUCCCACCAAACCGUGAGUUGCUUCUCCUCCCCCUUCCGUCCGUUUCGCACUGCCUUCAUUCCUCCGUCUGGUUCAUUCGUAGAAGGCUCACCAAACACCAAAAUUCUUUAAAUGGAUCAAGAGGCUGCCCGAACUGCUCGGGAAUCACUAGACCUUGCAUUUCAUAUGUCUAAUGUACUUGAUGCCGGGAUCGAUCGCCACACUCUCUCUGUCCUCAUUGCUCUCUGUGACAUGGGUGUGAACCCUGAAGCUUUGGCUGCUGUUGUCAAGGAACUACGGCAGGAGCCACCCGCAUCAGAGACCAUCAUAUCGGCCAGUAACAAGUCAUAAGUUCCCCAAGCAAAGAAACAACUCUGUUCUUCUGAUGUAGGUUGAAAUACAAAUGUGUUAUUUAACCAUGUUGGAUGGCAUCUUGUGAUAGAUGGCUUGGUGUUUAGAAUGUUCAAAGUACACAAUCUUGUGUUCAUCCCUUCUCUAUUUUAGCUGAUUUUGUCGAAAUAACAGAAUUGGCACACAUGUAUUCUAAUCAGAUCUGUUGGAAUGAGAGUGAGGGUUGAUCA